AGUGAACGCUGGCGGUAGGCCUAACACAUGCAAGUCGAACGGCAGCACAGUAAGAGCUUGCUCUUACGGGUGGCGAGUGGCGGACGGGUGAGGAAUACAUCGGAAUCUACUUUUUCGUGGGGGAUAACGUAGGUAAACUUACGCUAAUACCGCAUACGACCUACGGGUGAAAGCAGUGGAUCUUCGGACCUUGCGCGAUUGAAUGAGCCGAUGUCGGAUUAGCUAGUGGGCGGGGUAAAGGCCCACCAAGGCGACGAUCCGUAGCUGGUCUGAGAGGAUGAUCAGCCACACUGGAACUGAGACACGGUCCAGACUCCUACGGGAGGCAGCAGUGGGGAAUAUUGGACAAUGGGCGCAAGCCUGAUCCAGCCAUACCGCGUGGGUGAAGACGGCCUUCGGGUUGUAAAGCCCUUUUGUUGGGAAAGAAAAGCAGCAGGUUAAUACCCCGCUGUUCUGACGGUACCCAAAGAAUAAGCACCGGCUAACUUCGUG
rnacentral:rRNA from 1 species